AGCCAGAGGAAGAUAUUUUUGGUUUAACCUGCCCAAUGUUUUAAAUGAAUGGCCGCGGUACUCUGACCGUGCUAAGGUAGCGUAAUCAGUUGGCUUUUAAAUGGAGUCGGGUAUGAAUGGGAUAACCGGGCCUAGCUGUCUCAAAUCUAUUUAUUUGAAUUUACUGUUUAGGUGAAAAAGCCUAAAUUUGGAAAAGGGACGAGAAGACCCUUGGAAUUUUGUUUAAAGUUGAUAAAAAUCUACUGUGAUUUUGUUGGGGCGACAGAGAAAUAUUUAAAACUUUCUUUAAAAAUUAGACGGAUUUUUCAGGUUAGAAUAAAUUACCCAAGGGAUAACAGCAUAAUUUUAUUAAUAAGUUUGUGACCUCGAUGUUGGACUAGGAAGCUGUUGGGUUAGCUGCUCAAUGUGCAGAUUCUGUUCGAAUUAUUACUCCU
rnacentral:rRNA from 1 species